rnacentral:rRNA from 1 species
AUGAACGCUGGCGGCGUGCCUAAUACAUGCAAGUCGAGCGAACAGACGAGGAGCUUGCUCCUCUGACGUUAGCGGCGGACGGGUGAGUAACACGUGGAUAACCUACCUAUAAGACUGGGAUAACUUCGGGAAACCGGAGCUAAUACCGGAUAAUAUAUUGAACCGCAUGGUUCAAUAGUGAAAGACGGUUUUGCUGUCACUUAUAGAUGGAUCCGCGCCGCAUUAGCUAGUUGGUAAGGUAACGGCUUACCAAGGCAACAAUGCGUAGCCGACCUGAGAGGGUGAUCGGCCACACUGGAACUGAGACACGGUCCAGACUCCUACGGGAGGCAGCAGUAGGGAAUCUUCCGCAAUGGGCGAAAGCCUGACGGAGCAACGCCGCGUGAGUGAUGAAGGUCUUCGGAUCGUAAAACUCUGUUAUUAGGGAAGAACAAAUGUGUAAGUAACUAUGCACGUCUUGACGGUACCUAAUCAGAAAGCCACGGCUAACUACGUG